rnacentral:sRNA from 1 species
UGCGCCUGUGGCGGGUGCAGCAUGACCAUAUAAAAAGGCUUUACAGGCAGCCAGUCAUGUACCACCUGGUAAUGUAAGCACAGCUUACUUCAAAGCAUUUU